ACUUUUAACAAGGAUCUUUGGUUCUGGCAUCGAUGAAGAACGCAGCGAAAUGCGAUAAGUAAUGUGAAUUGCAGAAUUCAGUGAAUCAUCGAAUUUUUGAACGCACAUUGCGCUCGCCAGAUUCUGGCGAGCAUGCUGUUCGAGCGUCAUUUCAACCUCAAGCACCGCUUGGUUUUGGGCCCCACGGACACGUGGCCCUUAAAGUAGUGGCGGACCCUCCGGAGCCUCCUUUGCGUAUAACUAACGUCUCGCACUGGGAUCGAGGGACUCUUGCGUAAAACCCCCAAAUUUUUUACAGUUGACCUCGAUCAGGUAGAAUACCCGCUGAACUUAAGCAUAUCAAUAAGCGGAGGAAAAGAAACAACAGGGAUUGCCCCAGUAACGGGAGUGAAGCGGCAACAGCUCAAAUUUGAAAUCUGCCCCAGGCCCGAGUUGUAAUUUGCAGAGGAUGCUUUUGGCGCGGUGCUUCCGAGUUCCCUGGAACGGGACGCCAUAGAGGUGAGAGCCCGUACGGUUGGACACCAAGCCUUUGUAAAGCUCCUUCGACGAGUCGAGUAUUUGGAAUGCUGCUCUAAAUGGAGGUACAUUUCUUCUAAACUAAAUAUUGGCCAGAACCGAUAGCGCACAAGUAGAGUGAUCGAAAGAUGAAAAGCACUUUGAAAAAGGGUUAAACAGCACGUGAAAUUGUUAAAAGGGAAGCGCUUGUAACCAACUUGCGUCGGUGAAUCACCCAGCUCUCGCGGCUGGGGCACUUCGCCGGCACAGGCCAGCAUCAGCUUGCCGUCGGGACAAAAGCUUCAGGAACGUGGCUCUCUCGGGAGUGUUAUAGCCUGUUGCACAAUACCCUUCGGCGGGCUGAGGUACGCGCUCGCAAGGAUGCUGGCGUAAUGGUCAUCAGCGACCCGUCUUGAAACACGGACCAAGGAGUCAACCUUAUGUGCGAGUGUUUGGGUGUCAAACCCCUACGCGUAAUGAAAGUGAACGCAGGUGAGAGCUUCGGCGAAUCAUCGACCGAUUCUGAUGUUCUCGGAUGGAUUUGAGUAAGAGCAUAUAGGGUUGGACCCGAAAGAAGGUGAACUAUGCGUGUGUAGGUGAAGCCAGAAAACUUGGUGGAGGCUCGCAGCGGUUCUGACGUGCAAAUCGAUCGUCAAACAUGCGCAUGGGGCGAAAGACUAAUCGAACUUCUAGUAGCUGGUUUCCGCCGAAGUUUCCCUCAGGAUAGCAGUGUUGAGCUCAGUUUUAUAGGUAAAGCGAAUGAUUAGGGACUCGGGGGCUAUUUUUUGCCUUCAUCCAUUUUAAACUUUAAAUAUGUAAGAAGCCCUUGUUACUUAGUUAAUUAAGUAUUCGAAUGUAUUAACACUAGUGGCCAUUUUUGUAAGCAAACUGGCGAUACGGGAUGAACGAACGCGAGGUUAAGUGCCAAAAUAGUCGCUCAUCAAACAAAAAAGUUUAGUACAUUUUACAGCAGGACGGUGGCAUGGAAGUCGAAUCCGCUAAGGACUAUGUAAUAACUACUUACUGAAUUACUAGCCUGAAAAUGGAUGGUCUCAAGCGACUUACCCAUACCUCGCCCUCAGUGUAGAAACGAUGCGCUGAGGAGUAGGCGGACGUGGAGGUCAGUGACGAAGCCUAGGGCGUGAGCCCGGGUAGAACGGCCUCUAGUGCAGAUCUUGGUGGUAGUAGCAAAUACUUCAAUGAGAACUUGAAGGACCGAAGUGGGGAAAGGUUCCAUGUGAACAGCGGUUGGACAUGGGUUAGUCGAUCCUAAACCAUAGGGAAGUUCCGUUUCAAAGGGGCACUUGUGCCCCCCGUGGUGAAAGGGAAGCCGGUCAAAUUCCGGCACCUGGAUGUGGGUUUUGCGCGGCAACGCAACUGAACGCGGAGACGACGGCGGGGGCCCCGGGCAGAAAAUUCUUUUUUUUUUUUUAAUAAUUUACCCUGAAAAAAUUUGUUCCGGAGCUACUAAAGUUUAAUAAUUAAAGCCCAGCACUUCUGUUGGGUCCGGUGCGCUCUCGACGUCCCUUGAAAAUCCGCAUAAAAAAAAUAAUCUCACGCCAGGUUAUACUUAUAACCAUAAUAAGUCUCUAAAAUAAAUAGCUUUUAGUUAAUAAAAUAAUAUAAAUAAAAAAAGUUAGUAAAAUAAAUCUAUAAUUUCGGGAUAAGGAUUAACUCUAAAAAUUAAGUACGUUAAGUUUUAAAUAAAUAGCUUAAGAAUAGGUCGCUAUUAGCUAAGUAACUAGCUAAAAGUUUCUAAUACUUAGGUUCUAACGCCCCUUAAUAAGCUUUGGUUAUUUAGUAUAUAGUUAAUAACUAAUUUAGAACUAAUAUAAAUAAAAAAAAUCUAACUAUUUAAUUAAAAUAUAAUAUUACGAUAGCUAGAAAAUAAUAUUAACGUAAUAUAAUUUCUACCUAGUACUCUAAAUAUUAAAAUAAAAAAAUUUAACUAAGCGCAAGUAAAUAGCGGAAAUAACUAUAACUCUUUUAAAGUAACUAAAUACCUCGUUAUUUAAUUAAUAACGCAUAUAAAUAAAUUAAUAAAAUUCUUAUUAUCCCUAUUUACUAUCUAACAAACUAUAGCUAAAGAACAGGCUUAAUAAAAUUAGUAAAAUAAAAGACCUUAUUAAGCUUAACUCUAAUUUAAUAUUAUAAAAAAAUAUAAGAGGUAUAAAUAAUAAGAGCUUUAGUACUAGUAAAAUACUACUAUUCUUAUUAUUUUUUUACUUAUUUAAUAAAGCGGGACUAAAUUUAUAUCUAAUUUCUAGUUUUAAAAUCCUUAUAAGCUAACCCGGAUUAAAAAUAUUAUUAAAUAAAGAGUUUAGCUAGGGCAGUAAUUUAUUAAUUAUAAUAUAAGUAUUUUAAAGGGGGCUUAUAAAAAUAGAAAUCUUUAAUAAAAUAAAAAAGUAAAAGUCCCCUUAAUUUUAAUUUUUAAUAUAAACAUAAACUAUAAAAAUAUAACCUAUCGAUCCUUUAGUCCCUUAAAAUUUAAAGCUAAAAGUACUAAAAAAUUAUUAUAAAAAUAACUAGCUUAUAGUAGCUAAGCGUUUAUAAUAAUAUCGCUUUUUAAUCCUUUAAUAUUAGCUCUUUUUAUUAUACUAAAAUAAAUUUAAUAAGUAUUAAAUUAUUUACUUACUAAUAAAGAACGUAAACUAAGUUUAAACCGUCAUAAAAUAGGUUAGUUUUACUUUAUUAAUAACCUUAUCAUAAUAAUAAUUAAACUUAGUAUAAAAAAAACCGCUUAUUUAAAUAAUUAGUUUUUAUAACUAUUUAACUAGGUAAUAUUAUAAUAUUAUUAUUUACUAAAUAAUAACUAAACGCCUCUAAAUUAAAAUCUAUACUAAAACGCAACGAUACCUCCCGCAUAUAUAAAUAAAUAUAAAUAAGCUCUAGCUUAGCAUCUUAGUAAGUAAUUCCUCUACUACUCUCAAAAUAAAUAAUAAUAUUUUAUAAAUUAUAAUUUU
rnacentral:rRNA from 1 species